UACGUAGGGACCGAGCGUUGUCCGGAAUCAUUGGGCGUAAAGAGCGUGUAGGCGGCUAUUUAAGUCUUGCGUGAAAUCCUGCGGCUCAACCCGCAGACGGUCGUGGGAAACUGGAUGGCUAGAGUGCGGGAGAGGAGAGUGGAAUCCCGGUGUAGCGGUGAAAUGCGCAGAUAUCGGGAAGAACACCCGUGGCGAAGGCGGCUCUCUGG
rnacentral:rRNA from 1 species